CAGCCGCCGCGGUAAUACGAGGGGGGCAAGCGUUGUUCGGAAUUAUUGGGCGUAAAGGGCGCGUAGGCGGUUUGGCAAGUUUGGUGUGAAAUCUUCGGGCUCAACUCGAAGUCUGCACCGAAAACUGCCGGGCUUGAGUAUGGGAGAGGUGAGUGGAAUUUCCGGUGUAGCGGUGAAAUGCGUAGAUAUCGGAAGGAACACCUGUGGCGAAAGCGGCUCACUGGACCAUUACUGACGCUGAGGCGCGAAAGCUAGGGGAGCAAACAGGAUUAGAUACCCCAGUAGUCCCUGUCUCUUAUAC
rnacentral:rRNA from 1 species